ACCCUAAAUCAUCAUUUUCUCCUUGCACUCGAUACUUUUCAUUUUUCUCUUGCAGGCAUGAGGGUUUCCUGAGGAGGUUCGAUCUGCAAAUUUUGUUGAUUCUAAGUGGUUUGGGUGCCACCAUGGUUGGAUUUUUUGUGUGUAGAAUGCAUGGCUUUCUAAAAAAGAUUGAAACCGAAAAAUCAGGCCGCCGUGGGGGUUUCGAAUUCUAAGGGUUUGAAUGAUAUUUUCAUGGAAGUGGUUCGUAAAUUUUCACUCCUUAACCUUAGCCACUUCAGACAUUUGGAGUAGUAGGGUGACAUCUAUGAAGGAGCUGGAGAUGAAGCUAUUCAAUUGUGGGGGUUCGUCAUUACAAGGCGAUGACGGAUCCCUUGUCUUUGUUUAUACUUCAUUUUUAAUAUGUAUCAUUUCCUUGUAUAAUGCAUUAAGGUAGUCAUUCCCACAACUUGUUUGGGAGCAUUUAAUUUGACAUUCAUGAAUAAAGAAAGCAACUUUCUCUUUCACAGUUGUAACCUCUUGUUUCUUGAAAGCACACUUGCAUUGAAUAAAUUGCUUUAGUUGGUACCAUUUGUUA